UACGGGGGGUGCGAGCGUCGUCCGGAAUCACUGGGCGUAAAGGGCGCGUAGGCGGCUGGCGUAGUCGGUGGUGAAAGCCCGUGGCUCAACUGCGGGUCGGCCAUCGAUACUCGUCGGCUCGAGCACUGUAGAGGCAGGUGGAAUUCCGGGAGUAGCGGUGGAAUGCGUAGAGAUCCGGAAGAACACCGGUGGCGAAGGCGGCCUGCUGGGCAGUAGCUGACGCUGAGGCGCGACAGCGUGGGGAGCAAGCAGG
rnacentral:rRNA from 1 species